GACGAACGCUGGCGGCGUGCUUAACACAUGCAAGUCGAACGGUGAAGCGCCUUCCUUUUUGGUGGGUGUGGAUGAGUGGCGAACGGGUGAGUAACACGUGAGUAACCUGCCCCCUUCUUCUGGAUAACCGCAUGAAAGUGUGGCUAAUACGGGAUAUUCUGGGUCUGUCGCAUGAUGGGUCUGGGAAAGAUAUUGUUUCGGUGGGGGAUGGGCUCGCGGCCUAUCAGCUUGUUGGUGGGGUGAUGGCCUACCAAGGCGGUGACGGGUAGCCGGCCUGAGAGGGUGGACGGUCACACUGGGACUGAGACACGGCCCAGACUCCUACGGGAGGCAGCAGUGGGGAAUAUUGCACAAUGGGCGCAAGACUGAUGCAGCGACGCCGCGUGAGGGAUGGAGGCCUUCGGGUUGUGAACCUCUUUCGCCAGUGAGGCAGGCCUGCCUCGUUUGUGGGUGGGUUGACGGUAGCUGGAUAAGAAGCGCCGGCUAACUACGUG
rnacentral:rRNA from 1 species